rnacentral:rRNA from 1 species
GACGAACGCUGGCGGCGUGCCUAAUACAUGCAAGUUGAGCGCUGAAGGUUGGUACUUGUACCAACUGGAUGAGCAGCGAACGGGUGAGUAACGCGUGGGGAAUCUGCCUUUGAGCGGGGGACAACAUUUGGAAACGAAUGCUAAUACCGCAUAAAAACUUUAAACACAAGUUUUAAGUUUGAAAGAUGCAAUUGCAUCACUCAAAGAUGAUCCCGCGUUGUAUUAGCUAGUUGGUGAGGUAAAGGCUCACCAAGGCGAUGAUACAUAGCCGACCUGAGAGGGUGAUCGGCCACAUUGGGACUGAGACACGGCCCAAACUCCCACGGGAGGCAGCAGUAGGGAAUCUUCGGCAAUGGACGAAAGUCUGACCGAGCAACGCCGAGGGAGUGAAGAAGGUUUUCGGAUCGUAAAACUCUGUUGGUAGAGAAGAACGUUGGUGAGAGUGGAAAGCUCAUCAAGUGACGGUAACUACCCAGAAAGGGACGGCUAACUACGUG